AGUGAACGCUGGCGGUAGGCCUAACACAUGCAAGUCGAACGGCAGCACAGUAAGAGCUUGCUCUUACGGGUGGCGAGUGGCGGACGGGUGAGGAAUACAUCGGAAUCUACUUUUUCGUGGGGGGUAACGUAGGGAAACUUACGCUAAUACCGCAUACGACCUACGGGUGAAAGCAGGGGAUCUUCGGACCUUGCGCGAUUGAAUGAGCCGAUGUCGGAUUAGCUAGUUGGCGGGGUAAAGGCCCACCAAGGCGACGAUCCGUAGCUGGUCUGAGAGGAUGAUCAGCCACACUGGAACUGAGACACGGUCCAGACUCCUACGGGAGGCAGCAGUGGGGAAUAUUGGACAAUGGGCGCAAGCCUGAUCCAGCCAUACCGCGUGGGUGAAGAAGGCCUUCGGGUUGUAAAGCCCUUUUGUUGGGAAAGAAAAGCAGCAGGUUAAUACCCCGCUGUUCCGACGGUACCCAAAGAAUAAGCACCGGCUAACUUCGUG
rnacentral:rRNA from 1 species